UACGGAGGGGGCUAGCGUUGUUCGGAAUUACUGGGCGUAAAGCGCACGUAGGCGGCUUUGUAAGUUAGAGGUGAAAGCCCAGGGCUUAACCCUGGAAAUUGCCUUUAAGACUGCAUCGCUAGAAUCGGUGGAGAGGUGAGUGGAAUUCCGAGUGUAGAGGUGAAAUUCGUAGAUAUUCGGAAGAACACCAGUGGCGAAGGCGGACUCACUGGACACGUAUUGACGCUGAGGUGCGAAAAGCGUGGGGAGCAAACAGG
rnacentral:rRNA from 1 species